CUCGGCAAAAUUACCUCGUAACUUCGGAAGAAGAGGUACCCCUUCACGGGGGUUGCAAUAGAUUGACCCUGGCGACUGUUUACCAAAAACACAGGUCUCCGCUAAUUCGUAAGAAAAAGUAUGGGGGCUGACGCCUGCCCAGUGCCGGAAGGUUAAAGAAGUUGGUUAGUCCUUGGACAAAGCUAGCGACUGAAGCCCCGGUGAACGGCGGCCGUAACGAUAACGGUCCUAAGGUAGCGAAAUUCCUUGUCGGGUAAGUUCCGACCCGCACGAAAGGCGUAACGAUCAGGGUACUGUCUCGGAGAGAGGCUCGGCGAAAUAGACAUGUCUGUGAAGAUGCGGACUACCUGCACCUGGACAGAAAGACCCUAUGAAGCUUUACUGUAUCUUGGAAUUGGGUUUGGUCUUUGCAUGCGCAGGAUAGGUGGGAGGCUUUGAAGAUGAUCUUGCGGGGUCGUUGGAGCCACUGGUGAGAUACCACCCUUGCAAUGAUAAAAUCCUAACUUUGAACCGUUAUCCGGUCAAAGAACAGUUUCAGGUGGGCAGUUUGACUGGGGCGGUCGCCUCCUAAAAGGUAACGGAGGCGUGCAAAGGUUCCCUCAGGCUGGUUGGACAUCAGUCGUAGAGUGUAAAGGCAUUAGGGAGCUUGACUGCGAGACCAACAAGUCGAGCAGAGACGAAAGUCGGCCUUAGUGAUCCGGCGCUUCCGAGUGGAAGGGGCGUCGCUCAACGGAUAAAAGUUACUCUAGGAUAACAGGCUGAUCUCCCCCAAGAGUUCACAUCGACGGGGAGGUUUGGCACCUCGAUGUCGGCUCAUCGCAUCCUGGGGCGGUAGUACGUCCCAAGGGUUGGGCUGUUCGCCCAUGAAAGCGGUACGCGAGCUGGGUUCAGAACGUCGUGAGACAGUUCGGUCCAUAUCCGGUGCAGGCGUUAGAGUAUUGCGAAGACUUCUCCUUAGUACGAGAGGACCGGGGGGAAUGCACCGCUGGUGUACCAGUUAUCGUGCCAACGGUAAACGCUGGGUAGCCAAGUGCAGUUUGGAUAACUGCUGAAAGCAUCUAAGUAGGAAGCCAGCUUCAAGAUGAGUACUCUCACCGCUUCAAGCGGGUAAGAUCACGGCAAGAACAGCCGUUUGAUAGGCAUCAAGUGUAAGUGCAGUAAUGUAUUCAGCUGAGAUGUACUAAUAGAUCGAGGGCUUAUUAAA
rnacentral:rRNA from 1 species